GGCUUCUGGUGCAUGUGCUACACCCAUGACCUGGCAUCUGAGUAGCUCUGCUUAAUCUACAUGCGUAACCUUGGCCUGGAGUUUGAAAAGAAGAAGGAUGCAGCUUCUGUGAUGCGCUGUCCAGCAUUACCUUUAUGCAGAAGAUGAAGCAACAGAGAAGUUGGGAAAAGUACAUCUUCACAUUCAGCUGGAAAUGUGGAAAUGCAGAAAGCAAGUCAGCAAGCUACAAAGCACAAAGACUCCCUGUCAGAUGGCCCUGCACGUGAUGGACUUGCUGCACCUCAAGUUAAAGCGUGGUACCUACAAAUAGAAGAGUUUAAAUGGAGCCACAGGGGAAGCAAGGCAUUGUGGACCUACUGUGUGUCAUAGGACUGGAAAUAACUUCCUGUCAUGUCACUGUGGAGCAGCUCAGCUUAUGACAGUAGUGUAAUGGAAUCCCAAGGACAAGCAAGAUGCCCCAUGAGCUUAACCUGCUUCGGCUCCAGCAAGUGCAGGUAAAAGUUUGUUGCAUCAGU